UAGGGAAUCUUGCGCAAUGGGCGAAAGCCUGACGCAGCCAUGCCGCGUGAGUGAUGAAGGCCCUAGGGUUGUAAAGCUCUUUCACCGGUGAAGAUAAUGACGGUAACCGGAGAAGAAGCCCCGGCUAACUUCGUGCCAG
rnacentral:rRNA from 1 species